UACAGAGGGUGCGAGCGUUAAUCGGAAUUACUGGGCGUAAAGCGUGCGUAGACGGUUAUGUAAGUCAGAUGUGAAAGCCCCGGGCUCAACCUGGGAAUUGCAUUUGAGACUGCAUAGCUAGGGUGCGGAAGAGGGAAGCGGAAUUUCCGGUGUAGCGGUGAAAUGCGUAGAUAUCUGGAGGAACACCGGUGGCGAAGGCGGCAUCCUGGACCGGUAUUGACGGCUGAGGCGCGAAAAGCCAGGGGAGCAAACGGGG
rnacentral:rRNA from 1 species